rnacentral:tRNA from 1 species
GCCUGGGUGGCUCAGUCAGUUAAGCGUCCGACUUCGGCUCAGGUCAUGAUCUCGCAGUUUGUGGGUUCGAGUCCCGCAUCAGGCU